AACGAACGCUGGCGGCAGGCCUAACACAUGCAAGUCGAACGCCCCUUCGGGGGAGUGGCAAACGGGUGAGUAACGCGUGGGAACCUUCCCUGUGGUACGGAAUAGCUCCGGGAAACUGGAAUUAAUACCGUAUACGCCCUUCGGGGGAAAGAUUUAUCGCCAUAGGAUGGGCCCGCGUUGGAUUAGCUUGUUGGUGAGGUAACGGCUCACCAAGGCGACGAUCCAUAGCUGGUCUUAGAGGAUGAUCAGCCACACUGGGACUGCGACACGGCCCAGACUCCUACGGGAGGCAGCAGUGGGGAAUAUUGGACAAUGGGCGAAAGCCUGAUCCAGCCAUGCCGCGUGAGUGACGAAGGCCUUAGGGUUGUAAAGCUCUUUUGGCGGGGACGAUAAUGACGGUACCCGCAGAAUAAGCCCCGGCUAACUUCGUGCCAGCCGCCGCCGUAACAC
rnacentral:rRNA from 1 species